AAGACGACCAGCAUGGGAAAGAAGUAGUAUUUGUGGUGGCUCCAAAGAAAACAGGAGAACAAGAGUUAAAAGGAAAGGUCCUGUUGUUCCUGUUUGAAGUCAAUAGGUGCUCUUAGUGCACAAAAAAUGCAGCCUGGAAUGUUAUGCAAUCAAAUUGGGCUUCCACCUGCCCAGUCUUCAAGGAAACAUCAGCAGCUGGUGAUGGGAAGAGGCCUCAUUAGUAAGAGAGAAGCAGCAAUCGGAAUUCCACUGAUCUCAGCUGGCUCAAUCGCUUGUGACAGCAUCCCAGCAACCAGCUAGUUCAGGUUCUUCUGCUGAGCCCUUGGCCACUUGCACAUGCUUAUUGCCAGGAAAGAAGCAUAGGACCUCAACUGUGAAAUGCAUUUGUUACAGCGUAAAGAGAAUCACUAUGUUGCUGGGAAUGAAGAUACAGUCUUCCUGGCAAAACACUGGGGGAAACAGUUAAUACAUCCUAACUCCUCACAUCCUGAGAACUGAAUUCUUCUGUUCCUGUAAAGUCAAAGGUAAGAUCUGAGUAAGAACUUGUCCUACAACCUACAUGGAUGCUCCUGCCCCACACCCAGGAAACCCACACAGACAAGGAACCAGGGAACCAGUGAUCUAUGACUUGCUGCCCCUCUGGGUCUGGAAACAGGAAUUACAAAGAACAAGAAGCAGAAAUGUAAAGCAGAAACGAGGCCAAGCAUCAGUUCUGGAGUCAGAUCAGCAUCAGGGAGCUGGAGCCAUCCGGACUGCUUCCUCUUUUCCUCAAGUGAACUCCUGGUGGAAACAUAAACUAAGGCUGAAUUCACUUUGAACCAAGAGCAAGACUUCAAAGGAAGCUUUGGCAAAGAGGAAAGCAGGGUGAAAACAGGGUAGGUGUAAGAGGACACAAGGUAUGUGCCAUUUUAAGGGAUUCAGGGGUAUCCUGGGAAGCAGCAGGCAUUUAUCCCUUUCCUGUGCAUAUGCUGACAAGAAUGCACUAUUCUUUCUUUAACAAUCUUAAGUCCUACUUUUAAGUAUUUUAAGUUGUCUAUUAUAAUUAAGCCUUUAUAUUAAUAUACAUUAAGUUCUAUAUCCACUGCAUGGAAAAAUUC